rnacentral:lncRNA from 1 species
UGCUGGUGAUGAGUCUCUGCUUCAUCGGCUUCGUUACGGCCCUCCACGUCUUCGGCAAGCUCUACCGCUAUCGAUCCACGGCUACCGGCGGUUCUUGAUCCGCCCGCCGCCUGAUCUGUCUGUAAAAGAUCUAAGCUUUCUUGUUUUCGUUUCCUUCCUUUUUAGGUCAAGCUCAAGCUUUCCUUUUGGACGAUCCUUCAAGACUGAAAUUUUCUGUCCUAGAAUAGAUCGUUUCCAGUUCAUGGUUCGAUCUAGAUCUUUCUUUAUGCGAUAAAGAUUCUGUCUUUUUUUUGUGUCUAUCAUUUUGCUGAUCGGCUUACGUUCUUGGAUGGUGGAUUUGCUUGCAAUUUAUGGAUGAGAUGAUGAUUGAUAAAUGUCAAAGGCUGUAGAUAUACCUGAAUUCGGGCUGAUGUAUGUGUGGGAACGUUAUGAUGAUAUUUCUGCAUAUAGAAAAUAAGCAAUGAAUUCAUUAGAAGAGCAUAUUUGUUAAUUUAUCUAUGAAGCAAUAAACCAAUACAUUAUUUUGCAGUCUUCAUCAUCUAGCAUUUAAUAAAUCUCAACAUUCAUGAUCCCCGUUUGCAGAUCUGCUGGCUUUUAUUAUUAUGGAUCGGUUAAUUUGACCUCCUUUAUUUCUGCAUUGAUUUGUAUAUAACUUCGAAUCUUAAUGAACCAAAAUCCUUUUAUCAUUUUCUUUCUCGUGAUUCUGCUGCUCUCUUUGGGGGAGUUUGCAUUUUUUCCCCCCUCCAAAAGCCAAAAAAUUAUUAACUAGAUAUAGGUCAAGUAACAGCAGUUGCUAUGCAAGUGAUGAAAUAAUUUUGAUGCAGUAUUUGUUGUGAAUGGUUCCCAGAUUAGGAGUCCUGAAUAUUUAACCUAUUGCUUAUCAGCUUUAGAUGCGAAUGCGCUUUGCGACAGAGAGUGGUAGGCUUGCAUUUUUGCAUAAAUUUGAAUAAAGCAGAAAUUAUAUGGGAUUAUUAAACUUCCCAAUCUUUAGAGUGCAAUGGCUUUUGAGUAUCAAGGGCGAGGACAUGCCAAAAUGGGAGGCUUGCAAGGUUGUCACUGCCAGGUCACGUUUACCUAUUGAUAUAAGAGUGUGAUCUGAGAAUCCCAUCAAAGAGUAAAGAGUUUAGCUAAAUGCCUAUAUCAGGAGGAUAAUCCCAUGUAACAACCAUAGGAGGUAUCUAUGUUGAAAGCAACAACUAGUAGAGUCAGGGGAAUAGGAAUUACUUCCUAAUCAUAUGUAAUUCGACCUAAUCUAUUGUCUGUAUUCUAUGGCUUGUAGGCUCUUCCUUCACUUACUGUGGUGAAGAAUUGGUUUCUACAAGUGGAUCUCCUACUACUCACUCCCGUAUCCUAAACAGUUAAAUGUAUGGAAAGUGAGAAGAAAAGAAUUUUACUUGCAUGCAAGGCCCUCACAUUUUUUCCCUUUUUACUUUUUAUCUUCUUGCCGGCAGGUUUAUAUUAAUGUUUUCUGCUUCCUCUCACCUGCUGGUGCAUUGUUUUGCUCAAUUUUUUUAUUGAUUUGUUUUCUCUUCUGUUGUUUAAUAUCUUUUGUCCUCUUCUGAGGUGCCCUUGCCUUAUUAUCCUCUUUCUAAUUGGCAUUUUGCUCCCUCUUUUCCAUCUUAUAUAGAUUUGUCUGUUCCCUUUUCUUUUUCUCUUUUAAAAUAGAGUUUAUCAUUUUAAACAAGUAGUCCAUUAUUAUGUUAAUUUGAAGUAUGUUACAGAGAAGAGUGUGAAUGCAUGCACAAUGUAUUCGGUAGAAUUAUGAAUAUUGAGAUGGACGUUCUGUGAAAUUGGGGAGAAUAAAGAGUAUGAUGGAGGAGGAGGCUUAUGGGCGGAGUUGCUGAGAACUUAGUUAUGGAAUCCAUAUAUUGAUGGUUUGGCCCCAACUACUGAGGGCUUAAGUUAACAUGGAUAAGAGAGGAGGGGGGCUAUAGAAUAAUGGACUAGAGUUGUCAUGAAUGCUUUUCAAAAGUCAUUAAGUGGAAAGAGAAGGACUUAUGCAUCUAAUCCUGUAUAAUUGGAUAAGAAUUGUUGCUAAUUGUCAUGGUAUGCUUUCCUCUCAGACUUGUUCUUGACAUGGUUUAGAGCUAUUAAGUCAAUGCAGGGGAUCAGAAUCCCAGAUAGAAGGUUUCAUCUAACAUCUGUUGGAGUUUGCUUCUUGGUAGUGAUUGAUCUAUAUAUAGAAGACCUAUUGGUUCUAGAUUACCAGGCCUUGAAAGAGUUUACAAAGAACAAGAAAGCAAAGUGCUUUACCAAAAUUUUAUAAGAAGUCAAUAGGACAGGAGAUAGCAUUCGUAUGCUUCUGCUUUUCUAUACACAAUAAGAAAAUCUCUUUAGGGAGACAUAAGAAUGAAAUUUGGUAAUGGAUGCAAAAUUGUUUUCUAAAAAUGUCCGUGGACCAAGCUAGUUUCCAUGCUUUAAAUGAGUACCCGUAAAAGCAAAUUAGACCUAAUUGUUAUGAUGAAAUUGCAUUCAGUUCUCUGUUGACAUUUUUGAACUAUGUAUGGAUAAGUUCUUUGUUCAAGAUGUAGAUUGUCACAGUUUUUUUUGUCCCAUUAUCAUCUUUGAUUAAAAGAAAAUGCUAAUCACAAGUUCUUCCAGAUUGCCUUUAUGGAGUUCUGGAAUUUCUUUUUGGUGCCGCUUUUCAUUUCUUUAAUCAUAUCAAUUAUUUCUUGCACACCCCCCUUCCUUCCACUCCCCCUCAAAGCAUUUAAGUCUAGAUUUUGACAAUACUGUAAGUUUGUCAGAAGAAAAAUAUAUCAUAUGAUGGCAGUGGGAAUAACUGCACUGUGCAUGUGAAUGUCUGGUUUGCUUGUACUCAUAAGACUCGGACAUGUACACAAAAGACAGAAACAGAAACAUGCAUGCACAUCUACAUUUUUAUUUACUCUUACUGAUGAGAUCCUUAGAGAUUUACCUGAGUAUCAUUUCUCCUGUUGAGGAUGAAGGUGAGAUCCUUGGGCUUUUAUAUUCAAUUGUCAUUUCUGUUGCCUGGAAUAAAAGAGAUAUUAAAACAAUUAAUUGGAGCCAUGUCCAUUUUAUUGAUCAUUGCCAUAGAUCUGUGACUCUGUCGGCAAGGUUUGCCAUGUGUGAUGUGGAAAUGAAUGCUUAACCUGAGAUCAGUAGGGUGAAGAGGAGGCAGAGAGUUCUUUUGCUUGGCAACUUAUUUUUUUCCCCUAUAGUAUUUUGUUUUGCAAUUUUUCCCCUGGUAAGUCUGCAGUAUCUUUCCCAACUUAAAUUAGUCCUAUUAUCCAGUGUGGUCUUUUGCAUUCUAUGUAGCUUUAAUUUUCCACGUUUCGUCGUUGAUCCCUCUUUGUGCAUUUGGUAUUUGAGUUUUGUCUGAUCUCUGUUUUGUUAUUUUACUUUUAUCUAUAUAGCAGUUAUGUUCGAAAACACUGAUUCUCUAUCUGGUUAAAAUUGUUCUUUUGCCUAUUAAAAUGUUCGGAUCAGAUCGCUUAGGAUUAUCCUAAUCUUUGUUCCUGCCAAAUCUGUCAUCCUAGCCUGGAUCCAAUUUUUUUUCCAUCAAAUCUUGGAUUAUCAAUCAAUCGAUGAUAUCAUCAAAUAUACAUCUCCUAGAAAUAAAAAGAAAAUCUGACCAUUAUAUUCUCAUACCAGGUAUCUUUUUUUGGUUCACAUCACCUAGCAUUACCCUACUUUUAGUUUUGCUUUCAUUUUAUUAAUGCUUUUUGAGGGAAUUCAUUUUAUAAAUGUGUUCAUUGAAUAGAAGCCUGACCUGCAUAUUAUCUCAAGCGCCCUUGCACCUUCUUUGAGUCCGCACCUUCCUCAGAAACUCAGGCAUCCAGACCGUUUUGUUCGGCCAUUCCCUAUGCUCUAAAAAUUUAGGAACAGGCUCCUGAGAUUCAAAUACAGCGAAAGCCCAGGUGAGAUUGGCUGCCAAUCACCAGCAAUAAGGCUAUCGGCUUUUGUAAGCUGCCAGCUAGCUUGAUGGUAAGAUCUUUUGGUGGUUAUGCUUGAGACUUCGGAAGUGAUUUUGGUCUGCCUUAAAAAAAAAAGGUUAUGCUUGAGACUUCGGAAGUGAUUUUGGUCUGCCUUAAAAAAAAAAAAGGAGCUGAGUAGCCAAAGAUCAUUAAGAUUUAAUGUUUCCUUUCUUUCUUUGCUGCUUUUUUCCCUGAGGGCUGCAGAAAAACUUUUUUGAGUAUGUUGGAGGAUUUAGGCCAUCGAUCAUUGGAUUCACUGUUGCAUGCAUGCUAGCCAGUCAGCUGUAAAAUCUUAUAAAGAUAACAGAAAAUGGCUGCAGCUGAAAAAGAAAAAUCUUCACACAGAAUGAAACUUUUAUGAGUAUGGAUUGCCUGGAUAUCAUGAAAGAGUUUGCAUAAAGCUAUUUCAUGCGUAAUUCUAUGGAAAUCUGCUUUCUCUCUUCUUUGAUAAUAGUUUGAUAUGUCUACAAAGCUAAUCUACGAGCUCUUUGCUUUUUUUCUAUAAUUUUGCCAUAUUUCUCCCAUUGUCCAGUCAUCUUUGAUCUAUUUUACAUGGAAUACUACUGUAAAGGUAUUCCGGUAAAAUAUCCUCUCAUUGCUUUCUGGUUUUCCAACCAUCUGCGUUUCCACCAAUAAUAACACAGCGAGUCUCUAUUACUGUAUGAUUUAUAGUCUAUUGAUUCUCUGUUCUUUCACAGGAUACCACGUUGAUUGGGGUGGUUCUCUUUGACAAAAAAAAUAAAAAAAAAAUGAAACUCUUAAAUCAUUUCAAGUAUUUCUUCAUCUCACCACCAUUUGAGCAGUAGCACCACUUAAAAUUUUGCAGGAUUGUGCGCGGUGAACGUUGCGGGUCCACCGUCGCCAACUUGUGAGCCUCGACGUAAGCCGCAACUCCGUAAAGUGGAGGGAAACAUCUAGCCGUUUAACUUUCAACGUACCCUGGAAGUCCUCGUUGAACCUAAUUGCCAAUCGGUCUACUUACGAAAGCUUUUUGGUAGGUUGAGUACAUGGUGGCUUCACGUCUCCGAUCUGGAUUGGCUUUGCCAUUCUGGAUGUCUUGGUCCCCAGCACUAAUAGCGAGGUUGCUUGUAGGAGGUGAAGAGGUUUUCUUCUUCUUCUUCUCUUUCUUUUUUUGGGUGGAGGAAGAGGUUUUCUUGUUUCAAGAGUUUGUUAGGCCAAAGUUAAAUAUUUAAUAACAAGAAAAUCCUCAUAGUCAUAGAUACUAUUGUUAAAUAACACAUCUUUUCCUUAUAUAGAAGUCCGACUAAAUAUUGAUCUUUAGUGCAUCUUAGUGUUUAUAAGCCUGGGGCAGGUUCCUCACCUGGUAGUUAAGUGUUCUCCAUCAUGAGUUUGCAAUAAGUGGUAUUAGAGCUGUGCUCAAUGUCUGACAUAAUUAUUAUAAAAUUGCAAGCUUAUUUCUAGUUGGGAAGUGCCAUGUUGGCUUGGUGGCUAGCUUAAUUAUAGUUUCGGAUUUUUACAUUUGCAUAUUAACUAAAAACCACUCCAAAAUCUAAAUUUUAUGAUCUGCAUUCUUGAAUUAUAUUAUCGUCAUUUUUAGCCAGUCUAGAUGAAAUCAACAGUUUCAAAUCCCAAUAAAAUUAGCAAUUUCAAAUCCCAAUUAGUCGAGGCUUUGGUUUCUGUAUUGCAAAAUCUUUAUGAUAUUAAUAUAUAUAAAUUUAGAUUCCAAUCACAAUUAAGAUUAGAUAGAUUAGAGCGUAUGCAUACCUAACGUGAACAAAAUUCCCGAUAGAUUCAAGCAGCUAAAGACAUGAUCAUACUCGACUC